UGCUCAUUGGAUAAUUUAGUGAUCAAAACCUUGUUCUUUCCUCCUUGAUCUCUGACUUGUAUAGAUUUAUGACUGUGUUGGGAAGAAGACUGGCUGUCUCCUCGGCAGGAGGCUCAAGGGCUGACCUUAGGCUUGUAAUGCGGCCUUGGAAAUAUGAAUCAUGGCUGGGAGGACUUGAGAGGUGAAGAGAUCCCAGAUUCCAGUGUUGCCUCAGAAGUCAUUUUCAUCAUUACUAUUUGUGCUGAUCAGGAGCAUGCCUGAGAACUCUCAAGCUGGGCCAACAGAAACAUCCCCAAAGAUUGCAGAAAAUCAUUGCAUACCAGCCACUUCCAUUAUACAUC